rnacentral:rRNA from 1 species
CCCCGCACAAGCAGCGGAGCGUGUGGUUUAAUUCGUUGCUACACGAAGAACCUUACCUGGGUUUGACAUAUAAGUUGUAGGGAACUGAAAGGGACCGACCUUCGGGGAGCUUAUACAGGUGUUGCAUGGCUGUCGUCAGCUCGUGUCGUGAGAUGUUCGGUUAAGUCCGCUAACGAGCGCAACCCUCGCCGUAUGUUACAAGUGUCAUACGGGACUGCCGGUAAAAGCCGGAGGAAGGUGAGGAUGAUGUCAAGUCAGCAUGACCUUUAUAUCCAGGGCUACACACACGCUACAAUGGUCUGUACAAUUGGUUGCCAAGCCGCGAGGCGGAGCCAAUCCGUAAAGCAGGCCUCAGUUCAGAUUGCAGUCUGCAACUCGACUGCAUGAAGCCGGAGUUGCUAGUAACCGCAGGUCAGCAAUACUGCGGUGAAUACGUUCCCGGGUCUU